rnacentral:rRNA from 1 species
UGGGGAAUAUUGGACAAUGGGCGAAAGCCUGAUCCAGCAAUGCCGCGUGAGUGAUGAAGGCCUUAGGGUUGUAAAGCUCUUUUACCCGGGAUGAUAAUGACAGUACCGGGAGAAUAAGCUCCGGCUAACUCC